GGCACACUCUCCAACAGCCAACAGCCCUGAACAGCAUGAAGACAGAACAGAUAAAAGAUCAUCUGGGAAUCCUUCCUUCCUCAUGGAGCUUUUUGAAGGCUAUGAAAAAGACAAAAGACAUGACAUUGACUCCUGAGUGUUGAACUUUUGCCCACUCUACAGCCGCCCUGGUUAUUAUAUGACCCUGAGGGUCAUCUACGAACGUUGGAACAUCUUGAAUAACAAUAAGGGGCACAAGAGAGAAUAAAGUAAACGGCAUUGGUCAAAAUCGUGAUUUAUGACCCUAUGUCCGGAUGACGCGUCCAUGCCCAAAUAAGGGCAUCCGGUCAGGACAUCCUGGCGGGAAGGUGUCUCGUGGUUAGGGCCAUAUAGUUGCAUCCUGUUCUGUCAAGUGUUAGAGUGUGUGUUAUUUUAUAUCUAUAUUGCAUCUAUUCCUUUGAAGUUGUCAUAAUGAUUGAUGUGUAGGGACCUCGUUAAACUGGGGGGGUUGUGUUUGAACAUUUCAAAGAGGAUGGCCCCACACCCCACCUAUUUUAUUGCUCUUAGGGUUGUUGUCUAUAAAGUAGGAAUGUCCGGGGGGGAUUGUGUUGGCGGCAGACGCCUUAUAAAUAAGACCCAAAACAACACAUGUGGCCUCAGAACACUAAACAAGAUUUUGAAAAUAAAACCCUGAACAUUAAACAGAAAAAUAUGUCUCCUAGGCCAAUUCUCGGGGUACUAUGCGCCUCUUGCCGCGAGGCCAAUGAUAAUAGCAUCGAGGACCUAUUGGGUGAGGCACCAGGAUGUUUUAAAGCAGUUUUGGACACGAAUGAUUGCCAUAUGACUUACAUAUUCCAACCUGAGGAUUCAACUGUGAAGAUUUUCACAGACAGCGGUCCCAACCCCCUUUAUCAUGCAAAACCCGGGAGUUUUUCUCCUGCGCUGCGUAUGAGAGAAUGGCUUAAGAUACGGCUGGCGCUCUGUCAAAUUGAACAGGCCCUGAGUGGUACAACCGUGCCAGGCUAUGCAUUGGAAGAGCUUGUGGGUAGGCGCAAUGAUUUGAAAGCCCUAAGGAUCUCUUCAAUGGCUUAUAGUCCCAACUCCAAAGUGACAAUUUUAGAAUGUGAACAAUUUGAUAGUACAAAUGCGACGAAGUCUGUCAGUUCAUAUGUAUUUUCCAAAGCCUGCAAGGAUGUGAACUUUUUUAUGCCUGUGUUUAGCUUUAAAUGGAUUGAUUACCCUAUAUUCAUAACCUUGAUGAAAAACCUGGAUAGUCUUUUCCAAAAUCGUGAACAAUUACGUCGCUGGCCGCUUCUAUCCUUAUUAAGACAUACACAGAGUCUACAUGCAAGACGUUUGAUCUAUCCAUGGAGUGAAAACUUACGGAGUCUUGAUGAGGGGGAAUUGGAAACUGAUGGGAGGGGUUAGGGACAAUCCUAUAACCGGGGCCCUUUAUCUGUAAGAAAGGAACAGUAAAAAUAUAUAUAUAUUUUAAAUAAACAUGUUUUGUAUUAAUUAUUAAAAGGUCUGUACUAAAGAUUUAGAAUUAAAUAAAGGGUAUUAAUGCUACCCCUUAACGAACGGGAAUCUGUAAUUUCUCUCUCGCCCCGGUCUAUCGCGGAGAAAUGCAAUGUCUUAUGUUAUACAAAUAGUCUUUCAAAUAGGGGGUGGGGAUGUGUGUCUCUGCAUGGGUGGCUUUUGAAACCAGAAAAAGUAUGUGUGAGCCUGUUUAGGAUUGUGUGCGUCUCUUCAAUUGUGCUUGGGCACUUUCGAUUUUAUUACCACACAAGCCUUUCAAAUGCGUAUUUAUCUCACCCCCAAGGAUGUGGGGGCUAAAAAGUCAAACAGCUCAGGCAGAAUAUUUCUUGUCUAAACAACCUCCUAUGGUUUAAAACAUAUGUUAUUUCUAAUCAGCGCAUAUACUAACGGUCCCCCACCCCGGGAUAUAAAUUUACAACCGACACCCCCAAGCGGUGCUAUGAAGCAUAAAUGCAAUACCGGCAGACAGAAUAUGUCGAGACACCCGCCUGUGGUUUUUGGAUCUCUAGACAUUCGUGGGUACUUUAUAUGACAAUUUUUGCAUACAGGAUGUCGCCCGAAAAAACUGCAACCCCGCUCUGUAAGCUCAUUACAGAAUAUUUCUCGUUAGAGACACGACCUCGGAGCGAGGCUAAGGAAACAGAUACUAGCCAUACUGUACGACCAGCUAAAGCGCAACUCCAGACACCAGGCCAACAACCCCCGAAGAGUUAUAACCCCCGGACAGCUAAAAGAUCAGCUGUGAAACCGUCAUCAAGCUUUCUGAAGGGUCUCAAUCCUUUACACAGAUUCUGAGGGGAAUAGAUGAUUUGGAACAGCCUUCGUUAGAGGGGGCUUCAGCGGAGCAAAACGCGUGCAGCCAGUCCCCAUCACACUAUUGUCGACCUGACAGACCACAAAAAAAGGAUCCCUGCUGCAUUAUGUACUCUGAAUGAUGACAUAGAUGCUAUUCUCCCGUUCUGUAGGACCGGCUUUACCCUAACUCCCCCGGGAACCACCACACGCACCCAACGCACAACAUGUGCGCAAGUGCAUUGCGCAGAAUCACCCCAGCCCGAAAAGUGUUACUGGUCCGGAAACUUACUGCUUCAAGAAACGGCGCUACAUGGACAAGACUCCAACGAGACAUGCCCGGCAGAAUCUGGAAGGCCUGGUGAAAAAAGUCUAGAGCCCACGGUUUCCGCGAUUCGUCAGAACAGCCCGCGUCAAAAAAGCCGAGACUCCUCCCCGGCGUAUAACGGCACAGAAGACCAUACACACCGAGAGCACGUGGAGGAUUUCGGCACGCCGGACAUUCCCAAUAAAACAACGAAACCGGAUGAUUUCACCGUUUUAAAUGACAUUCCCGAGGUAGACGACUUGCUCCUCUGCGAAUUGGCCAACCUUCUUGAUUUCUCCAAUUCUUAUGUAGAAACCCCCAAACCUGAAAUAGAACCAGCUAGGUUUAUUAUAGCCUUUUCCAGGGCUCUAAAAUCCAGAAAUGUCUUGCUACACAGACGAAUGGGGGCUUUACUCGAGCGGCAGUACAGUCAGGAUCUAUCCUUCUGCCGUAGAACAAUGCCCCGCGUGUAAACUUGGAAUCAAUCACACGCUUGGUCGAGGGGUUCAUAAACGACCGGAAUAGUGACUUGGAGAUUUUGAGCUCCUACAAAAAAAAUUGUUAGGCAUAUUGAGGGCUUCCAUCUAAGGAAUGCCCCACUUACUAAAAGAUUCAGGGUAGUCUAUGACAAGAGACUGCUUUUAACUAACGGGACCACAUUGCCCUUUGGCUGCUGACUUAUGCUACAAGCCCCAAUGUGUCUUAAAGCUAAAGAUAUAAUGGCUGCUGUAGAAGGUUUUGACCCCCGGUUGCAACUACCAUUUUAGGUCUUAAUCGCAGGCCCCUCCAACAGUGGUAAAACUUGUUUUGUAAAAAGGAUUUUAGAGAAUUCUGAACAUGUGUUAUCUCAAGAAGCCUGACAAUAUUGUGUGGUGUUAUUCGUGUUAUCAGCCUUUGUAUGAUGAACUGUUGAAGAAAAUAAAAAUCAAGUUUGUUGAAGGAA